rnacentral:rRNA from 1 species
CCCUUAGAUGUUCUGGGCCGCACGCGUGCUACACUGAGUGGAUCAGCGGGUCAGGUUGCGCGAAAGUGUUUCCUAAUCUUUAAAUCCGCUCGUGAUGGGGAUUGACGGUUGCAAUUUUCCGUCAUGAACGAGGAAUACCUUGUAAGCGCGGGUCAUCAUCCCGCGCUGAAUACGUCCCUGCCCUUUGUACACACCGCCCGUCGCUCCUACCGAUCGAGUGGUCCGGUGAGGCUUUGGGAUCUAAGCGAAAAGAGCGUUUCGCUCCUUUUGCUGGGAGAACUCAGUCGAACCUUAUCAUUUAGAGGAAGGAGAAGUCGUAACA